GCCAGAGGGUGCAAACGUUGUUCGGAAUUACUGGGCGUAAAGCGCGUGUAGGCGGUUCGCUAAGUCGGGUGUGAAAGCCCUGGGCUCAACCCAGGAAGUGCACUCGAAACUGGCAGGCUAGAGUAUCGGAGAGGUUGGUGGAAUUCUCGGUGUAGCGGUGAAAUGCGUAGAUAUCGAGAGGAACACCUGCGGCGAAGGCGGGUUGCUGGGCUGACACUGACGCUGAGGCGCGAAAGCGUGGGGAGCGAACCGG
rnacentral:rRNA from 1 species